GGGUAAUGGCACGGGGACCCACCAGCUUGUCUGCCGCCAUCUGGGGUACAGUGCUGGAAGCGGGGAUACAGGGACAAAUAAGACACAGAUCCCGUCCCUAAAGAGGCUGGAGUGCAAUGGCACGAUCUCAGCUCACUGCAACCUCUGCCUCCCGAGUUCAAGCAAUUCUCCUGUCUCAGCCUCCUGAGUAGCUGGAUUACAGAGAAACACAGAGGAGAGACCCAGAGAGGAGGAGAAGGCCGCAUGAAGAUGGAGCAGAGACUGGAGCUAUUCAGCCAAGUCAAGGAAUGCCUGGAGCCACCAGAAGCCGGAAGAGGCAAGGAAGGAUCCUCCCUUAGAGCAUUUGGAAGAGUGUGGCCCUGCCAACACCUUGAUUUCAAACUUCUGGCCUCCAUAACUAUGAAAUAAAUUCUUGUUGUUUUAA
rnacentral:lncRNA from 1 species